rnacentral:rRNA from 1 species
GACGAACGCCGGCGGCGGGCUUAACACAUGCAAGUCGAACGGAAAGGCCCUGCUUUUGUGGGGUGCUCGAGUGGCGAACGGGUGAGUAACACGUGAGUAACCUGCCCUUGACUUUGGGAUAACUUCAGGAAACUGGUGCUAAUACCGGAUAGGAGCUCCUGCUGCUUGGUGGGGGUUGGAAAGUUUCGGCGGUUGGGGAUGGACGUGCGGUUUACCAGCUUGUUGGUGGGGUAGUGGCUUACCAAGGCUUUGACGGGUAGCCGGCCUGAGAGGGUGACCGGCGACAUUGGGACUGAGAUACGGACCAGACUCCUACGGGAGGCAGCAGUGGGGAAUAUUGCACAAUGGGCGGAAGCCUGAUGCAGAAACGCCGCGUGCGGGAUGACGGCCUUCGGGGUGUAAACCGCUUUCGCCUGUGACGAAGCGUGAGUGACGGUAAUGGGUAAAGAAGCACCGGCUAACUACGUG